rnacentral:lncRNA from 1 species
CAUGGUGUCCCUCUCCCGUGGUCUCGUCAUGUUCCUGCAAAGAGAAAAAUAAGGAAAAAAUCUGCAAAACAUUGAAGACUCAUGACCCACUUUAAAAACAUAACUGGAUACAUCACAUGAACUCAAGACCAUGACUAUGGAGGAAGAUUUAACACUUGGCAACUCUUACAACAACAACAACAGCAACAGGGAAAAACAACAACAACAACAACCGAAGAGUGCAAAAAGAACUAAUGCAUUCUCUAGGUAUGCCUGGAUGGAGCCUCUAAGACCUAACAGGAUGUCUGAGAUUCCAGGGAAGUGGCCUGUGAUCUGUCAGUAAACAAAUAAGAAGCUAAUACAGCUUUGUUGUGUUUUCUGAUUGGCAUGGUUCUGAACUAUCUCCUACUUGUAGUUGCAGACAAAGAAACAGGAGAUGAAUUACCAUGUUCUAGGACUUUGUGUUCCUUUCCAAUUCAAACUGCAAUAAGAAAUAAAAAUGGUUAGGCUUCCAGUGUGUAGAUUAUAUAACGUGUCUCCUCUCUUUUGUGGUUUUGUCUUGUUUUG